CUAUUGUUAGGUCUGACAUCACAUUACAUGUGUGAUCUAAACAAUGUGGGGCUUGCUGGCAGUGAAGCCCCCCAGGAAACGUUCUAGUCUUGUGGAGCCAGAAUCUGCAAUGGUCACAUUCCCUACAUUACUAAAGAAAAUUUUCAGUUUCAUUGGAAGAUUUCAACCCUCUUCAUGUUGCUGGAGGAAAAGACUCUGGGAAGAAUCUGAUGUAAGAGGAGCUGACAGUCUCCAUCAUGUCCCUAUCCCCAGCUUGCCAUCCUGGAGACUUUAGGGGGACUUCCCCUUGGUGAGAUCUAAGACUUUCUUGCUUGAGCUAACUAUUCCCAAUUGGAGAGCUAGCUUCUUCACUCUGUAAUGUCUGCUAUAUUUUUCUCCUAUGUAUAUUUCCUCUGAUUUCUGUUUUGCCACCAUUUGGGGUAAAUGGAUUUUUCUUGACUAAGUGCUAUGUGUGUUUAUUGUGGAAUUAGUAUUUGGAGGGAAAUAGGUCAAACCUCACACCCAGAGUUUGGAAUCAUGCUACUCUCUAAUAAUGAGACACUGAUCCAAAGGUAGCUUCAACUUGAUCUUACCCAGAGAUAAACAAUUAAGGGAGCAGAUAGAUAUA
rnacentral:lncRNA from 1 species